rnacentral:rRNA from 1 species
UACGUAGGGUGCAAGCGUUAAUCGGAAUUACUGGGCGUAAAGCGUGCGCAGGCGGUGAUGUAAGACAGUUGUGAAAUCCCCGGGCUCAACCUGGGAACUGCAUCUGUGACUGCAUCGCUGGAGUACGGUAGAGGGGGAUGGAAUUCCGCGUGUAGCAGUGAAAUGCGUAGAUAUGCGGAGGAACACCGAUGGCGAAGGCAAUCCCCUGGGCUAACACUGACGCUCAGGCACGAAAGCGUGGGGAGCAAACAGG